GAUGAACGCUGGCGGUGUGCCUAAUACAUGCAAGUCGAACGCGUUGGCCCAAUUGAUUGAUGGUGCUUGCACCUGAUUGAUUUUGGUCGCCAACGAGUGGCGGACGGGUGAGUAACACGUAGGUAACCUGCCCAGAAGCGGGGGACAACAUUUGGAAACAGAUGCUAAUACCGCAUAACAGCGUUGUUCGCAUGAACAACGCUUAAAAGAUGGCUUCUCGCUAUCACUUCUGGAUGGACCUGCGGUGCAUUAGCUUGUUGGUGGGGUAACGGCCUACCAAGGCGAUGAUGCAUAGCCGAGUUGAGAGACUGAUCGGCCACAAUGGGACUGAGACACGGCCCAUACUCCUACGGGAGGCAGCAGUAGGGAAUCUUCCACAAUGGGCGCAAGCCUGAUGGAGCAACACCGCGUGAGUGAAGAAGGGUUUCGGCUCGUAAAGCUCUGUUGUUAAAGAAGAACACGUAUGAGAGUAACUGUUCAUACGCUGACGGUAUUUAACCAGAAAGUCACGGCUAACUACGUGCCAGCAGCCGCGGUAAUACGUAGGUGGCAAGCGUUAUCCGGAUUUAUUGGGCGUAAAGAGAGUGCAGGCGGUUUUCUAAGUCUGAUGUGAAAGCCUUCGGCUUAACCGGAGAAGUGCAUCGGAACUGGAUAACUUGAGUGCAGAAGAGGGUAGUGGAACUCCAUGUGUAGCGGUGGAAUGCGUAGAUAUAUGGAAGAACACCAGUGGCGAAGGCGGCUACCUGGUCUGCAACUGACGCUGAGACUCGAAAGCAUGGGUAGCGAACAGGAUUAGAUACCCUGAUAGUCCAUGCCGUAAACGAUGAGUGCUAGGUGUUGGAGGGUUUCCGCCCUUCAGUGCCGGAGCUAACGCAUUAAGCACUCCGCCUGGGGAGUACGACCGCAAGGUUGAAACUCAAAGGAAUUGACGGGGGCCCGCACAAGCGGUGAGCAUGUGGUUUAAUUCGAAGCUACGCGAAGAACCUUACCAGGUCUUGACAUCUUGCGCCAACCCUAGAGAUAGGGCGUUUCCUUCGGGAACGCAAUGACAGGUGGUGCAUGGUCGUCGUCAGCUCGUGUCGUGAGAUGUUGGGUUAAGUCCCGCAACGAGCGCAACCCUUGUUACUAGUUGCCAGCAUUAAGUUGGGCACUCUAGUGAGACUGCCGGUGACAAACCGGAGGAAGGUGGGGACGACGUCAGAUCAUCAUGCCCCUUAUGACCUGGGCUACACACGUGCUACAAUGGACGGUACAACGAGUCGCGAACUCGCGAGGGCAAGCAAAUCUCUUAAAACCGUUCUCAGUUCGGACUGCAGGCUGCAACUCGCCUGCACGAAGUCGGAAUCGCUAGUAAUCGCGGAUCAGCAUGCCGCGGUGAAUACGUUCCCGGGCCUUGUACACACCGCCCGUCACACCAUGAGAGUUUGUAACACCCAAAGUCGGUGGGGUAACCUUUUAGGAGCCAGCCGCCUAAGGUGGGACAGAUGAUUAGGGUG
rnacentral:rRNA from 2 species